CAACAACAGACUCGGUGAAAUUGUAAUUCCGGUGAAGAUGCCGGAUACCUGCGACAGGACGGAAAGACCCCAUGGAGCUUUACUGUAGCUUGACAUUGGGUCUUGGUACUACAUGUACAGGAUAGGUUGGAGGCUUUGAAACCAGGACGCCAGUUUUGGCGGAGCCAUCCUUGGGAUACCACCCUUGUAGUACUGGGACUCUAACCAUAGGCCAUGAAUCUGGUCUUGG
rnacentral:rRNA from 1 species